UACGUAGGGUGCGAGCGUUGUCCGGAAUUAUUGGGCGUAAAGGGCUCGUAGGCGGUUUGUCGCGUCUGCUGUGAAAACUCGGGGCUUAACCCCGGGCCUGCAGUGGGUACGGGCAGACUAGAGUCCGGUAGGGGACCACGGAAUUCCUGGUGUAGCGGUGAAAUGCGCAGAUAUCAGGAGGAACACCGGUGGCGAAGGCGGUGGUCUGGGCCGGCACUGACGCUGAGGAGCGAAAGCGUGGGGAGCGAACAGG
rnacentral:rRNA from 1 species